rnacentral:rRNA from 1 species
CACGUAGGGCGCAAGCGUUGUCCGGAAUUAUUGGGCGUAAAAGAGCUCGUAGGUGGUUUGUUACGUCCGCUGUGAAAAACCUAGGGCUCAACCUCGGGCCUGCAGCCGAUACGGGCAGACUAGAAUUCGGUAGGGGAGACUGGAAUUCCUGGUGUAGCGGUGGAAUGCGCAGAUAUCAGGAGGAACACCGAUGCGAAGGCAGAUCU